rfam:Chlorobi bacterium OLB5 TZ05_CHB002CONTIG000036, whole genome shotgun sequence.
GUAAAAGUUACUAAGGGCACACGGUGGAUGCCUUGGCACUGGUAGGCGAUGAAGGACGUGGUUACCUGCGAUAAGCCUCGGAUAGAUGGAAGCAAUCUUAGACCCGGGGAUUUCCGAAUGGGGCAACCCAAUGCGAGUAAUGUCGUAUUACUAUGCACUGAAUAAAUAGGUGCAUCAGAGCAAACUCAGGGAACUGAAACAUCUAAGUACCUGAUGGAAGAGAAAACAAUAGUGAUUUCCCCAGUAGCGGCGAGCGAAAAGGAAACAGUCUAAACUUUGUGGUGUGUUAAAGACUCGAAUCGUUGCAUCACAGGUGUUGCGGGACUUUCAGACCAAUUUCGAGUAGGUCAAAGAGUACACUGAUUCGUUAGCUGAAUCGUUUUGGAAAACUCAGCCAUAGAGAGUGAUAGCCUCGUAAGCGAAAACGAUAGGCUCUUGAAAGUAUCCCAAGUACCACGGACUAAGUGAAAUUCUGUGGGAAUCCGCGAGAACCAUCUCGUAAGACUAAAUACUAACCAGUGACCGAUAGUGAACAAGUACCGUGAGGGAAAGGUGAAAAGUACUCCUGACAGGAGGGUGAAAUAGUACCUGAAACCGUGUGCUUACAAACGGUAGGAGCCACCUGUAAAGAGCUUGCUCUUUAUUGGGGUGACUGCGUGCCUUUUGCUUAAUGAACCAACGAGUUGCUCGUAUCAUGCAAGGGUAAAUUCUUAAGGAAUGCACCCGCAGCGAAAGCAAGUCCGAAACGGGCGUUUAGUAUGAUGCGGCAGACGCGAAACUGUGUGAUCUAGUCAUGGCCAGGAUGAAGCAAGGGUAACACCUUGUGGAGGUCCGAACCGGUGCGGGUUGAAAACUGCUCGGAUGAGCUGUGACUAGGAGCGAAAGACCAAUCAAACUCAGAGAUAGCUCGUUCUCUCCGAAAUAGCUUUAGGGCUAGCCUCGGAUAAAAGUUUCACGGAGGUAGAGCACUGAUUGGGGUAGGGCUGUCACAACGGUACCAAACCCAGACAAACUCCGAAUUCCGUAGAAAUGUUUUCCGGGAGUCAGGCAGUGGGGGAUAAGCUUCAUUGCCAAAAGGGAAAUAACCCAGACCACCAGCUAAGGUCCCCAAGUCUAUGUUAACAGACUAAGGAUGUUAAGUUGCUGAGACAACUAGGAUGUUGGCUUAGAAGCAGCCAUUCAUUUAAAGAGUGCGUAAUAGCUCACUAGUCAAGCGACUUAGCGCCGAUAAUACUCGGGACUUAAACAUAGCACCGAAGCUGUGGACUCGCAAGAGUGGUAGGAGAGCAUUCUGUAUGCAGCGAAGGUUCGCGGACAACGCGGGCUGGAGCGUACAGAAACGAAGAUGUUGGUAUAAGUAACGAUAAACAAAGUGAAAAACUUUGUCGCCGAAAAUCUAAGGUUUCCUGAGCAACGUUAAUCGUCUCAGGGUUAGUCGGGUCCUAAGCUGAGGCCAAACGGCGUAGGUGAUGGAUAACAGGUUAAUAUUCCUGUACCGCCGAAAUUUAAACCGGAGGGACGCAGAAGUGAAAGGAGAGCCACCUGUUGGAUGGUGGUCUAAGGUCGUAGGAGCAAUCUGAAAGCCGAACGGGAUGGCGUAAGCCUGCAAACUCUCCCUAAUCAUGCUGCCAAGAAAAGCUCCGGCGUAUACUAAGGCGCCCGUACCGUAAACCGACACAGGUAGAUGAGAUGAGUAUUCUAAGGCGCUCGAGUGAGCCGUGGUUAAGGAACUCGGCAAAUUAACCCCGUAACUUCGGGAUAAGGGGUGCCCGAUUAUUCGGGCCGCAGAGAAAUGGGCCAAGCGACUGUUUAACAAAAACACAUGUCUAUGCUAACCCGUGAAGGGGAUGUAUAUGGACUGACACCUGCCCGGUGCUGGAAGGUUAAGGAGAGAGGUCAUGGCGUAAGCCGGCAGCUUUGAACCGAAGCCCCAGUAAACGGCGGCCGUAACUAUAACGGUAGUUCUCCGCUACACUGUUUUUACAGAGUAAAAGAAGGGGCCGUUAAAAAACAUGGCUAUAUGCUGGAACAUCUCAGUAUUUCAUAAUACUUAGAAAGUGAAAAUUUAUGAAUGGAGACAAUCAGCAGGAAAGAUUCUUAACACCUGAAUAUCUUGCAGGCUUUAUUGAUGGAGAAGGUUGUUUUUCGGUUUCUGUUCAUCCUAAUCCGAAUGCUAAAUUCGGAUGGAUAAUUGAUCCUGACUUUACAAUCAAUCAGCAUAAACAAAGCCUUGAAUUUCUGAAAAGUAUUCAGAAAUUCUUCGGAUGUGGAAAAAUAUACGAAAAAAGUCCUGACAAAAGUAAUGUUUUGACUUUUACAGUAUACUCCAGAAGAACAAUAUUUGAAAAAAUAUUACCAUUUCUUGAUAAACAUCCGCUGCUUUCAGAGAAGCACAAUGAUUACAUCAAAUUUAAAAAGAUUGUGAUCAAAAUGCAGAACAAAGAACACCAUACACUUGAAGGAUUUCAUGAAAUUGUGAAAAUUGCUUUCAGUAUGAAUGCCUUUGGGAAGCAAAGAGCUUACACUCUGGAAGAGGUAUUAAGAAAAUCCUCAGAGACUGCACGCCACACAUCUGUCAGCAAGGCAGAUGAAGAUACAGUCCGAACUCAAUAGCGAUAUUGAGAGCUGAGCAGAAAUGACUCAGCCGAUUAUUAACCACAGAAACAAACCAAUUAAUUAAAUCGUAACAAAUGCCUAAGGUAGCGAAAUUCCUUGUCGGGUAAGUUCCGACCUGCACGAAUGGUGUAACGAUUUGGUCACUGUCUCAACCACGGGCUCGGUGAACUUGUGGUACCGGUGAAGACGCCGGUUACCCGCAUAUGGACGGAAAGACCCCGUGCACCUUUACUGCACCCUAGCACUGGAUUCGGGUAAUCUAUGUGUAGAAUAGGUGGGAGACUUUGAAGCGGCGGCGCUAGCCGUCGUGGAGUCGCAAUGUGAAAUACCACCCUUGGCUUAUUUGAAUUCUAACCCCACAUC